rnacentral:lncRNA from 1 species
CCCUUAUAUUAAGUCGCAAUAACUGUAUUAGUGGCCCUUAUAUGAAGUCGGUCGAUGAACUCUUUCUUUGUAGCCAGAGGUAUAGAAGUAGUUGUUUUCGUUUCUAUGCUUGUCUAGUAGUUCCUUGGGCCUGCUUGGCUGAGUUGGAGAAAGAAGAAUAGUAUGGAGGUGAGAGUUGAAGCAAAACGGGUAUAUAUGUCCUGAGUAGGAAAUAGAUCAUAAGCCGAGGGUUAAGGUUCAUUAUGGGGUUGUUUCCCUUUGUGCCCGUUGCUUGGCUGUAGCCUGAGUUAGCUGAGCAAGAAGAUGGUUCUCGUUGCCAGAGAUAAGAGGUAUAGUCGUGACUUGGCCUCCGCUUGUGGAAUUACUAGUUUUCUUCCAAUACUAGGGAGUAGUCGCCAGUGAAAGAAGUGAAGUUCAGAAUUGUCCUAAGUAGUCAAAGAAUGGAGCUAAGUAGUUACAGAAUCGACCUAGCAACAACAAGACUCGGACAGUGCCCACUCAGACUAAGACAAGGGAGUGGUAGACUCAACCUCGGGAGUGACAGAAUGCGACUGAUCGGUGCAAGCCUGAUACUAAGGAAAGGCUAUAACCACGGAUGCUAGGACUGAUGCUGCUAAGGGAGAGAAUGAAGCGGACACCGACGGGAAUGGAACGAGUGAGUCACAGCCUUACCAUAGUAUAGAUGGUGUCAGACUGAAAUCAGUAAAUCAAAGAAUCAAACGGGAGACCAUCCAGGAGUGAGUGCUCGCUUUGAAGCUAGGGGAGUUGGAUUAUAAUAAGGGCUUGCUUUGAUGCUAGGCUAGGUGUACUUGCUUUGAUGCUAGGUGUACUAAAGUAAAGUCUCUUUCCGUUCUUGUGUCAGGUGUGGGUGCGGAGGAUAAGAUUAAGAGCUUGUGUUAAGCUAAGUAGUCAAUCUAUCUCUUAUUAGGGGAACUCCUGCCGCUACACGUUAGUAGUUACUUGGCCCACUCCUAAAUCCUUAUAUAUCAUAUUAUAGGAUGACUGCUAACCAGAAUGAACCCAAUGAGGAACAGCCUGAAACAACUACCAACUAAACAAAGACACCUAGAAACAAGGCACCAACAUGUGCUAACGAGGCAACAACCACUGUUAACGAGACUAAUGCUGAUGCUACUUAUUCUUCAACCACUGCCCUCAAGAAUGUAGCUAGUCAAUCUAAGACUAAAACAAGUGCAUCUCAGCCUGACGCGGUGUCUGCUAGGUAUGUCGCUUCAGGGUAGUGGUAAAGUGGAAUAUCAAGUAGGAGUCCUGGUAUUUUGAAUAGCAAAUAGUAGAGGACCGGAAUGACUUGCCUCGUUGCUUGGUCAUUUGUAGAUACUUGUCUGCUGCCCCUGUUCCAGUUCGAAAGUAAGGGUAAGGAAGGCUACUAGGUUAGUUGGUAAAGAGAAAAGAGACAGCUCUGAAGUUCAUGGUUCUAGUCUGAAUCCCGGGUUUGAUGCGGGGAAGUGGGUAGGCUCGGUAAGCAUUUAAGUAAGAAGGAGAGGCCUCGGUGGGAAUGUAGCUAUUGGUUAAGGCUUCAACUUACUGGUGGAAUUCCUUUACUAGGUCGGGUGCUUGUGUUAAGCUAUGAGCAAAAGAUAGAAUUGUGGGGAGAACGCCUGCCGCGUAACGCGAACACAUGACUUGGUCAUAAUUGGUUAUAACAUAUCUAUGCUGCUGCUGCCGCGCAGCUUUCAACUCGCUGCCGCGACACGUUAGUAGUGUCUUGGCGCGCCGUUGCUUGGCCUUGGCCUUGGCCCUUACUAAAUUAUAUAUUAUCUUAUUAAGGAUUGAGUUUCGAAAGAGAUAAGUGCUGUGUUCGGGGCUAGUAAGGGAAAGAAUGGACUAGGGAGUGACAGGCUGAUGCUAAGGAGUCCAAGGCUUUGUGAUACGAGGUCUAGAACCAGUGCACUAACAACUAGGCUUUAAACCGGUACCACCGAGACUGGAGCUAACAUAGAUCAGAAUCAAAUUGCUAACUCACAGACUCAAACCAGUGUAACUCAGAAUCAAACAGGUAACAGUCAGAACGAAACUAAUUGGUGAGCUAGAGAGUUGAGCUAGGCAGACUUAAUCCUGAGCUAGCAAGCCUGAUACCAGUGCACAAUGUAAGCGAGCGGAUUCAUCAACUUCACUCAUAUUCUAUUUUCUUUCUUUAUAAAUAAAUAAUAAUAUCUAUAUAAGCUAUAUAAGGAGAAAACCCAGAAUUUACUGAAUUUAGUAGGGGCCGAUCAAGAAGCAAUUACAAUACAAGGCAGGAAAUAGAAAUCCUAGGAGCGAUAGAGUGGUCAGGAAUCAACUUCACUUCUUUAUUAACCCCGAGCAGCAGAAUAGCCUGUUCGAGUUUCUUUAUCAGCAGAAGAAUGAGCCUAGCCAGACAAUAGGGGUAUUGUAGUCAGAGAGGGUAGAGAAUAGAGUUUACCGGUACCGGGUAGUUAUAGACUUAGCUACAUAGCUUACAAGAAAGUCUUAAUUAUAUUAUAUGACAAAUCUUCCGAUAAGCCAAGUCGAGUCUAUUAUAUAAGCUUAUAAAAGAUGGAAUGAAAGUUAGCCAUAUAACUCUUCCCUCCCUUUCCUCUUAACUGCCAACACCAGACUUUCUCACAGGAACUGGUUCUUCUGUUUCUUCUGUAUUGCUAGCGGAUUAAAGUAAAUAAGUGGACUCAACAAGCCCUCCCUGAACUACUAGUUUAAGCAUACUCUACUCUUGCUACUAAUACAGUUUCAUUCUGUUACUUAUACUUACGGGUUUCAUUCUUACCUCUUUCGGUGACUGGAAGGAUGGGUGCUGGUAUACACUAUAAAUGAAUUCUUUCUCAUCUUUAGAUGUUUUUCUGGGGAUUGUCUAGGAAGAGAGAAAACCCGCUUUCAAUGGAAUUCUUUGAGGCUUAGAAGCGGGGCCAGCUCCUCUCAGCGGGAAAGAAAGAAAGAGCUCUACUAAUUGUCUAGGUUCGUUGCUAGGGAAAGAAAGAAAGUAUAGUGAGCAAGAGUUAUAGGAUCAGAAUUAAGGCAUAUGAGCCAGAGGUCAGAGGUGGAUGAGCCAGAGUGAAAAGAGCCUGUUCGAGUUAAGUGAUAGUCCCCUGGUUGGAAGCUUAAUUGUAAGGCUCGGAGUAGAGGUCAGAAAGAAGGUAAGAGUGAGAAGCACCAGCGAGAGUAUUAUUGGCAUGGGUCAUAUGCUAGUCAAACCUUAGAAGCGGUGUGAGCUCUAGGUGUUCUUGUUUCGGGAAGCAGUGUACUUAAUAAGAAGAAAGAGAAG